GAUGAACGCUGGCGGCGUGCCUAAUACAUGCAAGUCGAGCGAACAGACGAGGGGCUUGCUCCUCUGACGUUAGCGGCGGACGGGUGAGUAACACGUGGAUAACCUACCUAUAAGACUGGGAUAACUUCGGGAAACCGGAGCUAAUACCGGAUAAUAUAUUGAACCGCAUGGUUCAAUAGUGAAAGACGGUUUUGCUGUCACUUAUAGAUGGAUCCGCGCCGCAUUAGCUAGUUGGUAAGGUAACGGCUUACCAAGGCAACGAUGCGUAGCCGACCUGAGAGGGUGAUCGGCCACACUGGAACUGAGACACAGUCCCGACUCCGACGGGAGGCAGCGGUAGGGAAUCUUCCGCAAUGGGCGAAAGCCUGACGGAGCAACGCCGCGUGAGUGAUGAAGGUCUUCUGAUCGUAAAACUCUGUUAUUAGGGAAGAAGAAAUGUGUAAGUAACUAUGAACGUCUUGACAGUACCUAAUCAGAAAGCCACGGCUAACUACGUG
rnacentral:rRNA from 1 species